rnacentral:lncRNA from 1 species
CGUGUUCAAUUCAUGUAGACAUAAGCGCUUUCUUUUUACAUCUGUAUAUAUGACUCUAUCAGCUUUCUCCAUUUCAAUUUUCAAUGGCUUUUACUUUUUUUAUAAAGAAAAAGAAAACAAUUAUCCUAUCAAGAAAUUCAAUAUGUUCACCCAAUUAAGAAUCUGAAAAGUCAAGCCGACCCACCAUCCACUAUCAUUAAACUCAGCUUUAAUGCCAUUUAAUGCCUCAAUAAUCUUAGGUUUCAUUAUUUAAGAUUGAGUAGUCAUAAACAAUCGGUGUGCCUCAAUACACCCUAAUUAUAUCAUUCUAACGCCCUUUAAUAUGUAUAGCCUUUCGAUUUCAUUUGUUUCCAUCUAGUCUAGGUAUAAGAAUCUCAUCUUUGUAAAUAAAAGUGGAAAUCAUUUACAGAUUUGAGCCAAAUAAUAAUCGUGUCUCUUUUCUUUUUUGGCGAAGAUUGACCAAAUGUAUGUUUUAGGUAUUUAUGGAAUGAAAAGCCUCAAUUAGGUGAAAAUGAGUUGAAUUAAAGUUUUGCCUCCUUUGAAAAUUUUAAAUUUAAAUCUGAUCUAAUUAUAUUUUAUAGAUUAUCUCUUAAAAUAUAGUACGAUCUUUUUAAAAGUUUAU